rnacentral:lncRNA from 1 species
GAUCAAUUUAAACAAGAACUUAACAACAGCUAGUGGAGCUUAACAUGGUAGUUAAAAUUUCAUUCUCUGUAUAAAAAGACAAUUUAAAUUACUAUUCAAUGAAUAUGGUUGGUUUCUCUUAUGCAGGCUUCAUUUUAUCUCACAUAUUACAUUUUUGAGUUUUAAUUUUUUUUUUCUUCAAUUGACAUGACCGGAUUUCAUUCCCUUUCUUUUUCAAUUUUGCUUUGUGGUGAUCUUUCUCUAAGGUUUGUUUCAGUGUGGGAUUGUAGGACAUAAGCCAGAGUGUAGGACAGAAGUCAAAAUGUUAUAAGGGUUUUGUUUUAAGUUUAUAGGGUUUUAUGAGUGUUAUGCUAUUUUUUCUUUGUUUAAUUGACAUUAAUUAAACUAUUGCAUGUUUUCAUUUCUCUAAUUAUAAAAUUAUUUGUUAUACUUUUUCGUCUUGCUUUUCACAUGGUAGGAAUACCUCUCAAAAAAUGUACUUGUGUUACUUCCAAUGCACCUCGCAGUCUUCCCGAAUGCUUUGUGUCCCCAACCCUCACUAGACGGAUUCAUAGAACAAAAAAAGGCCUUGUUCUUUGUAUUGGGUGGUACAUAACCAACGAGAGCAAUUACAUGUUCGUCCAAGCCCUCUUUGCCAACACCUCAACAGGAGAAGAGCCUAGGUAAACACUAUCCUCAUCGCAAGCUUUCCACACAUUACAUGAAUGGUAUGCUUUUACUAUAUCCACAACAGGCCCCUCGUUUAGAUGAUUUUUAGCUGUGAAAACAAAUCAAGUUGUUAGGGUUAACCAUUGUGAUGACAUAGAAAGAAGAUGGUAGUUGAGUACAUAGUUUGUAUCCGACCAUUUAUAGGUUGAAUUAGUAUAUUGUUAUGUGCAACCUAAUGUGUUUCGAAUUCUCAUUUCUACACAAUCUACAAGGAACUGGAAAUCUAGAGGGUAAAAAUUUAAUCAGUGAACGUUAAAAUUGUUAAUAAAUAACAAUUUUUUAGUGCGUUACAAACUUAUUGUCAUUAUUCAUGAAUAUAUAAGAUUUUGUUACGGUAAAUGAAUCUACAAGUUAUGGAAUUGAUAGUGGGCUUCGUAAGCUUAGAACUCCGAUGAUUUAUAGUUUGUAGGUAAACAUUUAUAAGUCAAAUUAGUACUAUAUGGUAUAUUCAACACUAAAACUAUUCAUUUCAAGAAUUUAAAACAAAAAUAAUAAAUCUUAAACACCUCACAUGCUGCCCUAAACACUAACGGAUAAUGUUAAACCCCUAAACACUAAAUUCUAACCAUCAAAUAUUAUAUCAUAAAACCGUAUUCUUAAUCGUACUCCAAACUCUAAUUUUUUACCAUAAAUCAAAAUUAACUAAUCAUAAAGCUGUUAAUUAGACUCUAAACAUCUACCACUAUAUCUUAAAUCCUAAACAUUAAAUAAGAAUCUCAAAAUUUUUAAUUUUAAACAUAAUAUUAAUAUGUAGCAAAAAUAUGAUAUCUAAUUGAUUUUGAAUUUUAAACAAUCUAAUCUGGUACAUAAAUCAUUAUAUUUACUUUUUUUCACCAAAGAGAGGGACACAAAGAUGUCAGGUACCAUCCUAAGUGACACAGUAGCGGUGGAAUCCCAACCACCGCUGGCAGAGGUGGAAUCGACGAUGUGCGGCUGUUGCGGAUUAACAGAGGAAAGAGUUCUCUCAGCUGUGAAGUUAAUUAGCUUUCUGUGAAAUGGUGUAUUUGAUGAUUCCGUCUGCAGAAGAAGAUAGAGCUGAAGAAGGCGAGUGGGAAAAGGAGAGAUAACCCAAAACACCCUUUUUUAAACCCUUCUGCUCUGCUUUCUGUAGUGAAAAAACAGGGGUGUUUUGGUCAUGUGGCCGGCCGGACGGCGGACAUAUUCCGAUCACCGGUAAUUUACACUUUCCCUCCUGCAUCAAUUCCAUGUUGAUUUGAAUUUGUUUUGUUGUUGCUUGUGAAGUAAGAAAAACAAGAUUGUAUCUUUCUCCAAAGAAUUCAAUUUCCAGCUAGAUUUCCUAAUCUUGCUAAGCAUAACGCGGUUUUGCCCAAUCAUUUCCCAUGUUCUAUUGUCCCCCUUCCUUGUAGGGAAAUAAAGUAUGUGAAAUCGUAUCGAAGUAUAGAAUCAAUUCGAUUUUUAUAUCGAAUUUAUAUGAUUCCGAUAAUAAUGUUUGUAUACGAAGAUUUGUAGGUUGAAUUAGUAUAUUGUUAUGUGCAACCUAACAUAUUUCGAUUUAUCAUUUCUAUACAAUUUAGUUGAGUACAUAGAUCGUUUACUACAAAAAAUUGGAAAUCUAACGGGUAGAAAUUUAAUUAUUAGUGGAAGUUAAAACCGUUGCUAAAAUACCAAUUUCUGAUAAUAUGUUAGACAUACUUGAUGCAUUUCAAAUUUUAUACGAUUUAGUUUGAUAAAGAAAACAUUAUAGCGGUUGUACUUUUUUUCCCCUAAAAGGGAGGACACAAAGAUGUCAAUAACCAUCGGGACACAUUAGUGGUGGAAUCCCAACCGGCACCGACAGAGGUGGAAUCGGCAAAGUGCGACUGCUGUGGAUUGACGGAGGAAUGUACGUCGGAGUACAUAGAGAAGGUGAAGGAGAGGUACAAUGGGAGAUGAGUAUGCGGACUAUGCGACGAAGCAGUGAAAACAGAUCAGGAAAGACUUAUAGUAACCAGAGAGGAAGCUUUGACUAGCCACAUUAACUUCUGCAAGAAGUUUGCGGCUUUGCCAUCAGAGACUGAUGAUCCGGCCCUGCACUUGAUCUCCGCGAUGAAGUAAAUCCUUCGAAGAAGGUUGGAUUCGCCUCCUCGAGGUGGGAUGAGGUCAACUCACAAUAGUUCCACGACAAAGUCUGUGGAUAUCGUCGAUUCGAUGUCUUCCACCGCCUAUUCGCUGUAUCCUAGCAAGAUGAUGAAGAAGGAAGAAGAUGAGAUGGAAGAAGUGGAGCAUAAAGAAGACGAGGAGGAAGAGUUCGAUGAAACCAAGCGGUGCGAAUGUUGCGUAAAACUCGAAACAAUGGAGUUGGUUGAACUCAAGCCCGAUGAGGAUGACUAUGGAUGCAAACUCGAAGGUUAUAGUGACUAAACACAAUGAGCCACAGCCAUAACAUGCUGCAUCACAGGCAGAAUAAAGAAGAGAUCUGAUUUAAAAACCUAAUCUUUUAGGGUUGGAAGACAUCAAAUAACCUCAUAUCCACCAAACACCCACACCCUCUUCCUGCCAAUCUAAUCCCCACACAAGGGAAGAAGAGGAAACAGAUUCAACAACAGAAAGACUCCAUAUUUUUCAUCACCUCAGAUUCAGAAAAAAUAAUUAAAAAUUUUAAAAAGAAAAUCAAAACUAACCAUGAAUCAGGCCACAUCAAAUUCAAAACACCUGUACAAUCUCCAUACAUGAUGAUGAUCAGCCUCUUGUAAUGAACCUGUAAGAAGCACACAAGGACAAGAAAAGUCAGCAUCUUUUUUUGUCGAUAUUAGUUCAAUUGAAGGAGAAAACCAAACAGUUUGACAUCGAUCUGAAUCCAUCACCAAACAUAUACACAAAACAACAAUUCAAACAGGAUUCAAAUACCAGCAACCAUGAUUCCUGAAUCCCAAUUAAGGCUGCUGCUGCUGGCUGCUGCUAAAAUGAUUGCAGCAGGGUUGCGAUGCUGAUUCAUGAAACAAGCCAUCUUCUGGAAGAUUUUAAGAUUGAAGUAGUAGAAGAGAACAGACAAAAACGGCCCAGUCAGAAUUUUAUUUUAC